rnacentral:rRNA from 1 species
CCCUUAGAUGUCCUGGGCCGCACGCGCGCUACACUGAGUGUCUGAGAUACGAGUCUGCCUGGUCCGGCAAGGUCUAGGUAAUCGCUAAAGGACACAUCAUGCUUGGGAUAGAUUAUUGCAAAUAUUAAUCUUGAACGAGGAAUUCCUAGUAAGCGCAAGUCAACAGCUUGCGUUGAUUACGUCCCUGCCCUUUGUACACACCGCCCGUCGCUACUACUGAUUGGAUGUUUAAGCGAGGUUCUCGAACUGCUAGCGACUUAGCUUCGGUGAGGUCGCAGUGUGGGAAGUGAACCUAGCUUUGGUGUCUAGAGGAAGUAAAAGUCGUAACA